GCGGGAGUAGCUCAGUUGGAUAGAGCAUCUGCCUUCUAAGCAGACGGUCACAGGUUCGAAUCCUGUCGGGGGUACUA
rnacentral:tRNA from 1 species